GUGAGUAUAAUGUGUUAGUGUGAUCAGAUGUAGAUGAGAUCCACUGGAGUGUUUCUAUCACAGAUCACUGAUCUGAGAAUUCUAAUUUCCAUCUCCCCGGUAUUUGCAUACACAGUGUGUGGGGGGAACACCUCCCCUGUCACUCUCUCUAUAUAUCUCAUUGUACAGGAGACGUCUUCUAGUUUGGAUCUGACCCUCCAGAAACAUCAAGAUGAUUUCUCCCAGUUAUCUGCUGGCUGUCAUCUUCAUUUCUAUUCAGGGAUCCUGUGGAGAGACUGUGAUGACUCAGACUCCGGAUUCUAGCUCUGUGUCCCCGGGACAGACAGUCACCAUCACAUGUACAUCCAGUGCUGGUAUUUAUAGCUUCCUAGCCUGGUACCAACAGAAGCCCCAACAACCUCCAAAGCUUCUUAUAUCAGGUGCCAGCACUCGGCAAUCCGGAAUCCCGGACAGGUUCAGUGGAUCAGGAUCUGGAUCUAAAUUCACAUUAACAAUUAAUGGAGCGACUGAAGAUGAUGAUGGAAAAUAUUACUGUCAGCAGUAUGCUCAGGACCCUCUCACACAGUGAUACAGAGCCGUACAAAAACCUCCUUCCUCUUUUAUAAAGAAACACAAUCACAGAUGUCAUCACUGGAACAUUCAUGUGAAUAAAUCUGAUAAAUGGAUUGUUAUUGUUAGUAAGAGAACUGAUAAUCCUGAUGGGACCUUUAAUAAAUAGGGACAGAGAAUUCC